rnacentral:pre_miRNA from 7 species
UUCUAAGUGCACUGUGGUCCUAUGUGAAAGACCCUCGAAGGGAGACCCUCACUGAAGUCUCGGGAUAAUAGUAGAACCUCAAGAACUCACGAGAGACC